UACCCUAUCCCUCUCGUCCUUCACCUCACCCCUCUCUCUCUCUCUCUCUCUAUCUCUCUCUCCCCGUCCUAAUCGAGCCAAAACCACAAAACCCUAGAACGAAUUCGCAGAGAUUUCGUUGUAGCUCCUCUUGGAGGUGGACUGGACGGAGAUGUGUGGCCGUGCUUCUAGUCAUCGCAAGAGGACGUGCAACCUGGCCUUGACUCGUUGAAGGAAGGCGAAGACGAUGGUGGCUGCGGUGAGUCCACACUGGUGGUCGGAGAUCGGUGACGGGGGAGAGAGAGUCCUCCAGAUCCACUUUCUCUCUCCUCCAUCUCUCUCUUGUCUGUGCUUUUCUCUGGUCUAGUCCUCUGGUCCUCUCCGGAAACCUAACUUUGAUUGAGGUAAAAAUUUCAGCUAAUCUAUCCAGUUAAAUCUCUGGGCCUUUAUCAAUUUUCAGCUUUGUUGUUUGAUUGGUUAGUUCGGAACUGGGAGGAAGCUCAAACAGUUCGCUCAACAUCAUAAUUAAAGCCCUUGCAGAGUAUAUUCACAUAUCCACCCUAAAUUGGAUUUCUUUGUUGUUUGAGUGUAAAUGUUGGUUGGGUUUUGGUAAUCUUGAUAUUGAACUGGUUGGUUGUGUGUGCAAUGUGCAAUAUGCAGUGAAGUGAGCCUGCGCAAUCAAAGACUGCAUUUGGUUUACAAUGGAGUUGAGAUUGGUGGCGGAAGUCUGAGAAUUUAUAAACGUGAGGUGCAGCAAAAGGUUUUGGAAAUUGUUGGCAUCUCCAAAUGAGAAUUUAUAAAUGGAAGUUGUUGUCGAGUAAGCUAGUCAGGCAGAGUACUUGGCUUAUUAUUUAGUGUUUGUCCAUGUCAAUAAAUUGUUUGCAUUCACGAUGUUAAUGCUUGUAUCCAACUUUGUUUGAUUUCUCUUAGAUAAACUAGACAGUUCAUGUCUAUGUAUUUGGUAAUUCGAAUAAGUGGAUUUUGAUUCUUUCUUUUACAGCUUUAAUGUCCCAAGCUGUGCAGUACUUCUACUAGAUUAAAGCUUCACAUACUUUGGUGAGUUGUGCUUGGCAAGUUUGUGUCUUUAUUGGUCUCUUGCUCAGUUAUACUAUAUGGGUUUUGAUUUCUAGGCUUAGAUUUGGCUGAUUGCUCCCAGUUUGGAACUGGGUUUCUUUUAUUCAAAUUGCAAGUGUAUGAUAUAGUUGCAUAUCUCUUUAGGUUUGAUGAAUGGGGUCUUUGGUUUUGUGGGGUUGACACGGAGAAUGGCUUUUGGGGCUUGUCUAUAUAUUAUGGGCAUAUUUUCUUCAUGUGGGGUCUUAGAAAUUUUCAUUUAUGCAGCACAACAUGUGUGAUUCUCUUAAGGGGAAUAGCACAAUAUGAUCUUUGCUUCAGUAUUUUAUUAGAUUUUCUGUAAUAUAUUCUGGUAGAUUCCUCAGAUUUCAGUUCAAUUUUGUAAUAAUUUUUUUGUUGGUAGUUGAUGUUUGGUUGUCCAUAACUAUAAUAAACUUAAAUUUGGGAUCUUUCUCUCAUUUAUUCCCAUACUUUGCCCAAAUAAAAAGAGAUGCUUGUUGUCUACCGUUUUGGUGGUUUCUUCAACUGAUACCGAGAUGCUGUUUUUAGUUGCAGGUUUUCAAACUUCAACAGUAUAAAAGAAGUCUAUACAAUAAAUUUGGUUGAUGUGUACAUGUUGGGUUUGGAACUUGAAGCUUUAUAGAUGUUAAGAGGGUCUUUAAAGUCUAUAUCAUACACAUAUUGUUAGGCUAAUGCUGUGAAAAUUAUCUUUGCCUAGAGAGAAGGAUGUCUGCCCAUGAUAGUAGCUUUGGGUUAAAAGAGUAGAAGCUUUAAAAAUGGCCCAGAGUCUUCACUUUACAGAAGAGGUUCGAUCUACAAAAUGUCAUCUAGGUGAUUUUAAGGUUAAGAUAGAGUUUGACGACCUGAAGAAUAAGGCCCUUCAUACGUGCAGUUGCUUGAGUUCCCUUGUUAGUCAAAUUGAGAGGUAAAGCAUCUGUUCCUCCUCAAUAUGAUGCAAUGUGACAAAAAGCACCAUGAUAUGUACUGCCUUGUGUUAUAUGAAUAGCUUAAGUUUCCUUCUCAAGCUAUUCUAUAUGGAUGUUGGGUUGUUAAGAGGUAGAGAAACAGCAAGUGCAGUAUAACGACUUGUUGUAGAAUAAUCAUAAGGAGUUAUCUAGGAAAAUGAUAAUCCAAUUAGUUUUUCACUUUGUUAUUUCUUAGGCUGAUAUUGCUGAUAAGGUGUAUCAUCGGGGUUGCAUUUUCUUUGUAGGAUCAACUUGCAAAAGAACAGAGCAAAGCAGAGGCAUUAUUAGAUGUUGUAUAUGGAGAAGUUUAGAAGACUUCAAUUCAUGUUCUUUUCUUUUGCUGUUGUAUAUGGAGAAGUUUAGGCCAUACGUCCCCUUCUCCCUACUCUUUGUACUCUUUUUAUCAAUAGUAUUAAUGAGAAUUUUCUUUUGCUUA